rnacentral:tRNA from 1 species
GGAGAGGUGGCAGAGUGGUCGAAUGCACUGGUUUCGAAAACCAGCAGAGGCGUAAGCUUCUCGUGGGUUCAAAUCCCACCCUCUCCGCCA